AUCUUCGGCAAUGGGCGAAAGCCUGACCGAGCGACGCCGCGUGUGGGAUGAAGGCCCUUGGGUUGUAAACCACUGUCAGAGGGGAUGAAGUGCAUGCGGGUCCUCCCGUGUGUUUGACAUAGCCUCAGAGGAAGCACGGGCUAAGUUCGUGCCAGCAGCCGCGGUAAUACGAACUGUGCGAACGUUAUUCGGAAUCACUGGGCUUACAGGGUGCGUAGGCGGCUUGUUAAGCAGGGUGUGAAAUCCCUCGGCUCAACCGAGGAAUUGCGCCCUGAACUGGCGAGCUUGAGUGGGACAGAGGUGUGUGGAACUUCCAGUGGAGCGGUGAAAUGUGUUGAUAUUGGAAGGAACGCCAGAGGCGAAAGCGGCACACUGGGUCUCAACUGACGCUGAGGCACGAAAGCCAGGGGAGCAAACGGGAUUAGAUACCCCGGUAGUCCUGGCUGUAAACGAUGAGCACUAGCUGGCAGCGGCGGAUGCCGUUGCCAACGUAGCGAAAGUGUUAAGUGCUCCGCCUGGGGAGUAUGGUCGCAAGGCUGAAACUCAAAGGAA
rnacentral:rRNA from 1 species